ACGCUCUUCAAAUCUGCCCUUAUUUUCUUAGCAAUCAAUCUUAUUAUCUCUGAGUAUAUGAACAUUAUCUUAGCUGGAAAAGAUCUGAAUGUACUCUCCCCCUCCUCAGGCCAUUCGUCAAUUUAAUUUAAAACCAAGGAAGAAACUAAAAAGAAAUCCCGAUAUUCAUUUCUUUAUGUUCAGUAUAGCAGAUACAAUUCAGCUAGAAUCAAGAACUCUGAUCUUACAAGAAAAGAUCCAAGAACUAUUAAAGACAUGAGGCCGGAAAUAUAAAGGCUCACCUAACUAUGCUAUAUGUCCAGAGAGCAAAGGGAAAAGAAAAUUUCAGUAUGCUUUCUAACUAGCAAAACUAAAGCUUUUUCAGCACUGUUCUUCUUGACUGAAAAAGAUUCUAAAGAACGUUAUUAUCCUCCUCUCUGAAAAUAUGACAACGGUAAUAGCAUAGUGAUGGCAUGAGUGACUAAUAGGGAGAUGUCAGCAAGAUGGGAGCCAAUUACCCAGUGAGUGGCUUCUCUUAUCUACUGUGACAAGCUGAAUGAUGCAGAUAUUAAUCAAGAAAGAAAAUGAAAACUAGAAAGCUGAACAAAAUCAGGAAAAGUGUUGUCAUGUAUCCUGAACUAGCUAUUAACCAUUUCAGUGAGUUGUUACUUAUCAGGUAGGGUACAAAAUCAGGAAAACUAGGAUUUGUAAAAAUUCAGUGAUAUCUGUUAUCCAGUGAGCUGGUGAAGGCCAGGAAUGAAAAGUGGUAGGUAUGUAAGACAUGGCUGUAAUCUCAACCUGAGGUGUGCAGAUUCUGUGUUUUAAGUGUCUCUCUGAAGCUGUCCACUUCCCAUCAUCCCCAUAUUGCCUUACUCAGACUAUUUUCUCCACAAAGAAAAUAAUGUCACCUAGAGGCCAAAUAAAUCAGAAUGCAGGAAGACGAA